CCGGCAGGGCGGAGACACCCGGCUGAGGUACAACACCGGCCCCUCUGGCCCGGUGGCGGCCUCCCGGGGCUAGUGAAUCCUCCCUACACCGGCGCAUCGCUGCUCUGCGGAGCCCCGACCGUCCUCAAGCCCGCGCGGUCUGGGGGCGCGGCCGGAGGUCAAGGAGGAUAGGCUGAGGUCAGCAGGCGAGGCAGCGCGUCAGGCGGCUGCUAUGAUCGCAGCGUGGCUGGCGGACGCAGCCCGGGGCCAGGUGUCGCUACACCUGAAGAACAGAAGCAGCACUGGACUGAGGGAGCGAGCCUGACUAAAAGAAGUUCAGCCAGCAGAAUUUCUGAAACAUGGUGACAGAGACCUUGCUUUGUAUUCACGCUAGUUUGUUAAGCAUUAGUUGCGUUUUACUUUUACUUUUCUUGUAAUCAGUUCUGACUUAUGCCUCUUUAUUAAUGACAAAAGGAUAGAUUUUAAGUGAAUAAAAGUAAACUUGUUUUAUUUUAUCUAAACCAGUAUGUUUCAAUUGAAGUGUUUGAGAAACUAAAUUUGGGAUAACAGGAUUUGUGCAUAUCAUAUUUUACUAAUAAAAUGAUGGACUUUA